rnacentral:tRNA from 1 species
GGGGUUGUGGCUCAGUGGCAGAGUGCCCACCUCCCAUGUGUGAGGUGCUGGGUUCAAUCCUCAGAACCACA